UAUUAAUUUAUUGAAUUAAAAGCAAAGAGGCAGAUAAACUCAACCCAUAAAAAUAUAAAUAGAAUCACUAAUCAUUUAUGUACCAGCCACACCCCCACGCAUGAUGCCAACAAGGAUGACACAGCAAAUAACGAUAGUAGUGGUAGAUAGCAACAGCUUUAUUCUUUCACUACAAACUGAUGCAAGGAUCAGUAUGAGAUGUAGGUUCAAGGUCAAGGCCUUAAAUGAAACUCUGACCUACUCACAUACAACACUUUGACACACAAGUUUUACAGCAUUGUUAGGACACUAGUGCAACAGUCUUUUUCAAUACUCCCAUAGCUAAUAGUACAGUAUGAUAAAAGUAUCUGAAAUUCUUAUUAAAUUAUUGGAUAAAACAAAAUAAACAAAAACAAAAAAAAGAAAGAAAUUAAAAAAAAAAAAAAAA